UGGUGGAGCGAUUUGUCUGGUUAAUUCUGUUAACGAAUGAGACCUCAGCCUGCUAACUAGCUAUGCAGACCGCAGCUAGCUUCUUAGAGGGACUAUGGCCGUUUAGGCCACAAAAGUAUGAGGCAAUAACA
rnacentral:rRNA from 1 species